GAUGAACGCUGGCGGCGUGCUUAACACAUGCAAGUCGAACGGAAAGGCUCCUGCUUGCAGGGGUACUCGAGUGGCGAACGGGUGAGUAACACGCGUGGGAUCUGCCCUGCACUUCGGGAUAAGCCUGGGAAACUGGGUCGAAUAUCGGAUAGGACGAUGGGUUGGAUGUCAUUGUGGAAAGUUUUUUCGGUGUGGGAUGAGCUCGCGGCCUAUCAGCUUGUUGGUGGGGUAAUGGCCUACCAAGGCGUCGACGGGUAGCCGGCCUGGGAGGGUGUACGGCCACAUUAGGACUAAGAUACGCCGCAGACUCCAACGGGAGGCAGCAGUGGGGAAUAUUACAGAAUAAGCGCAAGCCUGAUGCGGCGGCGCCGCGUGCGGGAUAACGGCCUUCGAGUUAAAAACUCCUUUCGCUAGGGACGAAGCGCAAGUGACGGUACCUGGAGAAGAAGCACCGGCUAACUACGUG
rnacentral:rRNA from 1 species